rnacentral:rRNA from 1 species
AUACGGAGGAUCCGAGCGUUAUCCGGAUUUAUUGGGUUUAAAGGGUGCGCAGGCGGCCAUUUAAGUCAGCGGUUAAAUCGUGGGGCUCAACCCCAUUCUGCCGUUGAUACUGGGUGGCUUGAUUGCGGUCGAGGUUGGCGGAAUUCGUUGUGUAGCGGUGAAAUGCAUAGAUAUGACGAAGAACACCGAUUGCGUAGGCAGCUGACCAGAUCGCAAAUGACGCUCAUGCACGAAAGUGCGGGGUUCGAACAGGAUUAGAUACCCUGGUAGUCCGCACAGUAAACGAUGAAUACUUGUUUUCGGCGAUAUAAUGUCGGAGGCAAAGCGAAAGCGAUAAGUAUUCCACCUGGGGAGUACGCCGGCAACGGUGAAACUCAAAGGAAUUGACGGGG